UCCCGCCUCCCGCUGGGGAGGCGCCGGGCGCAGCGGGCUCCGGGGCCCCGCCGAGGGCGAGCUUCUCGGGAUUCGCGCCGCACGGUUGGCCUGGGGGUUGGAAGAGAGGGCAGCAAACAAGAUCUUUCCCGGGAUGGGAAGCGCCCCUUUCCGCCAAACCGGGCCGGGUAAACAGGCCACGCAAACGUUCCAGGGAACUGGAAGCCCAGGGACAUUGCUGGCAGCCGCCUGCGCCGGCCAAAUGGGAGCCCUGUCACCAGUAAAGGACAUGCUGAAGACGCCAAAUGGAGAUGAGAGGGCCUGGAGGAUGAGAAGUCAUGUGGAGGAGAACUGAGGCACAUCAGCCAAGUGCCAGCCAUGUUGGCAGAGGUUUAAGGAAAUUCUUUGGGGAGGCCCCUGCAAAUUCAGCCUUCUAAAAUAUGAAUGGUGUUGAUGGAAAAAGCUGAAGUGCUUUUUUGAACAUGAAUCGGGACUAUCGCCACGUGGCCAACAGUGUUGCUCUUUUCCCACCAAGCCCAGCACUAGAAGGACCUUUAAGAAGAGCUGAGCGGAGUUUCAGGCUCCCUAUUCUCCUGCCCACCCUCUGAUGGAGAUGUUAAUGAAUCAGCCAAACUGCCGGAAAAGAAACCAGAAGAGAAAGUGAAAAAUCAGGAGCCUGGGCCACUGCCAAGCUAGAAAAGCAGACGCCGAGGAGCUGGAAGGCCCUGGAGUCCCAGCAUAAAGGAGCAACCCACAGAGCUUCGCCUUGGGAGCACUGGGCUGCAGUUCCUGAAGGAGUAGGGCUGUCCUAUUUGGCAGUGCUGCCACACUCAGAUCACACUCUGCCCAGUGUGACCCGGGUGAACAAGGCCAAGCUAUAAUCAGGAGCCUGGUUUCCUGGCUCAUAGUAGGAAGGACCAGGCAGUGGACUGAUCCAAGUGCUCUCCCCUCACUUGAAUACAAUUUGCUAACAGGA